rnacentral:piRNA from 1 species
UUCAUUCACGGAACACAGCCAUCUAAUGCAC